AUGGCGAAGAGAAACACUGUUGUGCUACUACUUGCCCUUGCAAUUGUGUUAUCAUAUAGUGUCUUGGAGGGUGUUGCACAAAAGAGCCAAGUUGCAUUCUCUCGCAAAGUGAUGAAUACAGAACAAAAAGCAUCCUUUAGCAGGAUGAUUCCAUCGCUUGGCGGGCAGGUUCUUGGUGCAACAAAUGCAGGUGGUGUGAGCAAUAAUGCUGAAAUAGCAAAUGUUGAAACUACCACUACCGCAGAUUCCCAUCAUGAUGUCUCUGUGAAAGAUUUUCGUGGGAUUAACCACAAACCACCACCUUAUAAUAGACCAUAA
rnacentral:rRNA from 1 species